CAGUCGCCGCGGUAAAACGAAGGGGGCUAGCGUUGCUCGGAAUGGCUGGGCGUAAAGGGCGCGUAGGCGGAUUGUUUAGUUAGGCGUGAAAUUCCUGGGCUUAACCUGGGGGCUGCGCUUAAUACAGGCAGUCUAGAGUGAGGAAGAGGGUUGUGGAAUUCCCAGUGUAGAGGUGAAAUUCGUAGAUAUUGGGAAGAACACCGGUGGCGAAGGCGGCAACCUGGUCCUUGACUGACGCUGAGGCGCGAAAGCGUGGGGAGCAAACAGGAUUAGAGACCCGCGUAGUCCCUGUCUCUUAUAU
rnacentral:rRNA from 1 species